CACAACAUAACGUUAAUGCACCGGAUCCCAUUAGAACUCUGCAGUUAAGCACACUCAAGCUAGAGUAGUACUGGGAUGGGUGACUGCCCGGGAAGUCCUAGUGUUUUAC
rnacentral:rRNA from 1 species